UACGGAGGGUGCGAGCGUUGUCCGGAAUCACUGGGCGUAAAGGGCGCGUAGGCGGCGCGGGAAGUCCGUGGUGAAAGCCCGAGGCUCAACUUCGGGUCGGCCAUGGAUACUCCUGGGCUUGAGCACUGUAGAGGCAGGUGGAAUUCCGGGUGUAGCGGUGGAAUGCGUAGAGAUCCGGAGGAACACCAAAGGCGAAGGCAGUGUCCUGGGGAGUACCUGACGCUCAGGUGCGAAAGCCAGGGGAGCGAACGGG
rnacentral:rRNA from 1 species